rnacentral:rRNA from 1 species
AUUGAACGCUGGCGGCAGGCCUAACACAUGCAAGUCGAGCGAGCGGCGGACGGGUGAGUAAUGUAUGGGGACUGCCCGAUAGAGGGGGAUAACUACUGGCAACGAUGGAUAAUACCGCAUACUAUCGGAUAACCCAUAUGGGAUUAGCUAGUAGGUGGGGUAAAGGCUCACCUAGGCGACGAUCUCUAGCUGGUCUGGGAGGAUGAUCAGCCACACCGAGAAUGAGACACGGCCCAGACACCUAAGGAGGCAGCAGUAGGGAAUAUUGCACAAGUGGCGCAAGCCUGAUGAAGCCAGGCCGCGUGUAUGAAGAAGGCCUUAGGGUUGUAAAGUACUUUCAGCGGGGAGGCGUUACCGACAGAAUAAGCACCGGCUAACUUCGUGCCAGCAGCCGAGGUAAUUC